AUGACACUUCCUCUGCAUACCGCUCCGGUCCACCGCUGCAAGUCCUCCCUCCGGCCACCGCGCGAACGCGGUAUCUCUUCCAUCUCCGCCGCAUUUUUCCGGCAUUUUCCUCUCCUCUUCGCGACUGUUCCGACAUUAACAUCAUCCUCUAUUUCGCGCUUCGAUUCUGGAGGAAGAUCCUCGAUUCUCGAACCGAUCAACAUCAGCGGCGACUCAGAUUCAGAGUAUCACGCCUCUCUUUUUCUACCGUCUUCAGUGAUCUCUCAUGCAGUGUAG